CAGCCGCCGCGGUAAAACGAAGGUCCCGAGCGUUGUUCGGAAUCACUGGGCGUAAAGGGAGCGUAGGCGGCGUGGUAAGUCAGAUGUGAAAUCCCGGGGCUCAACCCCGGAACUGCAUCCGAUACUGCCAUGCUAGAGGAUUGGAGAGGUAGCUGGAAUUCUUGGUGUAGCAGUGAAAUGCGUGGAGAUCAAGAGGAACACUCGUGGCGAAAGCGAGCUACUGGACAAUAACUGACGCUGAGGCUCGAAGGCCAGGGUAGCGAAAGGGAUUAGAUACCCCAGUAGUCCCUGUCUCUUAUAC
rnacentral:rRNA from 1 species